UACGUAGGGGGCAAGCGUUGUCCGGAAUCAUUGGGCGUAAAGCGCGUGUAGGCGGCUUGGUAAGUCCGUUCUGAAAGCCCGGGGCUCAACCCCGGGAGGCGGAUGGAUACUGCUGAGCUCGAGUCCGGAAGAGGCGAGUGGAAUUCCUGGUGUAGCGGUGAAAUGCGCAGAUAUCAGGAGGAACACCGGUGGCGAAGGCGGGUCUCUGGGCCGAUACUGACGCUGAGGAGCGAAAGCGUGGGGAGCGAACAGG
rnacentral:rRNA from 1 species